CAGGACGAACGCUGGCGGCGUGCCUAACACAUGCAAGUCGAACGGAGUUGUUCCUUCGGGGACAACUUAGUGGCGAACGGGUGAGUAACGCGUGAGGAACCUGCCUUUCAGUGGGGGACAACAGUUGGAAACGACUGCUAAUACCGCAUAACAUGUACGGAUCGCAUGGUCUGUACAUCAAAGCUUUAUGUGCUGAAAGAUGGCCUCGCGUCUGAUUAGCUAGUUGGUGAGGUAACGGCUCACCAAGGCGACGAUCAGUAGCCGGUCUGAGAGGAUGAACGGCCACAUUGGGACUGAGAUACGGCCCAGACUCCUACGGGAGGCAGCAGUGGGGAAUAUUGGGCAAUGGGGGAAACCCUGACCCAGCAACGCCGCGUGAAGGAAGAAGGCCUUCGGGUUGUAAACUUCUUUUACCAGGGACGAAGAACGUGACGGUACCUGGAGAAAAAGCAACGGCUAACUACGUG
rnacentral:rRNA from 1 species